GAUGAACGCUGGCGGCGUGCCUAAUACAUGCAAGUCGAGCGAACAGACGAGGAGCUUACUCCUCUGACGUUGGCGGCGGACGGGUGAGUAACACGUGGAUAACCUACCUAUAAGACUGGGAUAACUUCGGGAAACCGGAGCUAAUACCGGAUAACAUGUUGAACCGCAUGGUUCAACAGUGAAAGACGGUCUUGCUGUCACUUAUAGAUGGAUCCGCGUCGCAUUAGCUAGUUGGUAAGGUAACGGCUUACCAAGGCAACGAUGCGUAGCCGACCUGAGAGGGUGAUCGGCCACACUGGAACUGAGACACGGUCCAGACUCCUACGGGAGGCAGCAGUAGGGAAUCUUCCGCAAUGGGCGAAAGCCUGACGGAGCAACGCCGCGUGAGUGAAGAAGGUCUUCGGAUCGUAAAACUCUGUUAUUAGGGAAGAACAAAUGUGUAAGUAACUAUGCACGUCUUGACGGUACCUAAUCAGAAAGCCACGGCUAACUACGUG
rnacentral:rRNA from 1 species